GUCUAUAUUGCCUCCGGCAAUUUAAUUGUAUAUGAUAACAAGGCAAAGAGUGGAUAAUGUAAGGCAAAUAGGUUUUUAGAAGAGCAGAGAAUGAUGUGAGAGAGAUGAUGAGUUUCACAUUAUAAGCUUUUGAUACAAAUAGGUGUUUCGUACGGGUCGGCGUUAGCUAUGUUUUAAUAGAAAAUU